UGAGCUGGCUAGGUGACCGCGGCAGAUGUCGAGGAACGUCCGGGCACCGCAGGGCAGAACGGUGGGUAACGCCCACCCGGGGCGACCCGCGGGAAAGUGCAACAGAAAGUAGACCGCCUGGCAACAGGUAAGGGUGAAAGGGUGGUGUAAGAGACCACCGGCGCUUUCGGUGACGGAGGCGGCCAGGUAAACCCCGUUCGGUGCAAGACCGCGCAGCAGGCGAGCGGCCCGCUCAACGCCUGCGGGUAGGUUGCUAGAGCCGCACGGCAACGUGCGGCCAAGAUAGAUGGUCACCACCGGUUCCUUUGGGAGCCGGCACAGAACCCGGCGUAUCGGCCGGCUCAUCCG
rnacentral:RNase_P_RNA from 1 species